AAGAGAUCCUGAAAACCAACAUUCCACACAGAACUCUCAGAAGCUGGGCAGUUGCUAGACAGAGUUGGUGGACUCCUCUGGAAGAGGGAGAGGCUGCUUUUCUCUAGCAGUCAGGAAAGCCCAGAGGGUUUCUGUCUGGUAUCUCUGGGGUGGGCCCAGAGAACCAGUGGUUACCUCUUCUUUGGCUUUCUUGAUAUUCUGCCUGUUCCUGCCUGCUAUUGCUGCCAGUGUUACUUAUGUCAAGUGGAUUUCAACAGGCUAUUACUGGGACUACUGUUUGAAUCAAAGAGGACUCCUAUGUUAUCACCAACUAUUUUGCAUCUUAGAAUUUUGAAGAGUUACCUAGUACAGUGAUUCCCUGACCACCACCAGAAAAUUCCAUUGCUGUGACAAAUGCCAAGGUGGCUAGAGAAGCUAGAGUAGCAAUAGGGAAGAAUGAAGAGGAGGAGGACAAGGAGGACAAGGAAGAUGAGGAAGACCAGGAAGAAGAAAAAGGAAAGAAGUCCAUUGGAGCAAUUUUUUAUAGCCAGAGAGAAUCACAGAUGAGCAGGAAAGUUUUAUGAGUUACAGAUUAAAUUUAUUUUGUACUUUAAAAGAAAAAUAAAUUGGACACUGGAGAGAUGCUCA
rnacentral:lncRNA from 1 species